rnacentral:rRNA from 1 species
GACGAACGCUUGCGGCGUGCCUAAGAAAUGCAAGUCGAGCGAGGUUUAGGCUUCGGCCGAAGACCUAGCGGCGAACGGUCGCGUAACACGUAAGCAACCUGCCCUAAAGUUGGGGAUAGCCCGCCGAAAGGCGGAUUAAUACCGAAUGUGGAUAUGUAUUCGCAUGUAUAUAUAUCUGAAGCAGCGAUGCGCUUUAGGAUGGGCUUGCGGCCUAUCAGUUAGUUGGUGUGGGUAACGGCCCACCAAGACGACGACGGGUAGCUGGUCUGAGAGGAUGGUCAGCCGGAUUGGGACUGAGACACGGCCCAGACUCCUACGGGGGGCAGCAAUUAGGAAUCUUGCGCAAUGGGCGAAAGCCUGACGCAGCGACGCCGCGUGACUGAUGAAGUCUUUCGAGAUGUAAAGGUCUUUUGUGGGGGACGAAGGAAGUGACGGUACCCCACGAAUAAGCCCCGGCUAACUACGUG